rnacentral:rRNA from 1 species
GACGAACGCUGGCGGCGUGCUUAACACAUGCAAGUCGAACGGAAAGGCCCUGCUUUUGUGGGGUGCUCGAGUGGCGUAUGGGUGAGUAACACGUGAGUAACCUGCCCUUGACUUUGGGAUAACUUCAGGAAACUGGGGCUAAUACCGGAUAGGAGCUCCUGCUGCAUGGUGGGGGUCGGAAAGUUUCGGCGGUUGGGGAUGGACUCGCGGUUUAUCAGCUUGUUGGUGGGGUAGUGGCUUACCAAGGCUUUGACGGGUAGCCGGCCUGGGAGGGUGAACGGCCACAUUGGGACUGAGAUACGUCCCAGACGCCUACAGGAGGCAGCGGUGGGGAAUAUUGCACAAUGGGGGGAAGCCUGAUGCAGCAACGCAGGGUCCGGGAUGACGGCCUUCGGGUUGUAAACCGCUGUCGCCUGUGACGAAGCGUGAGUGACGGUAAUGGGUAAAGAAGCACCGGCUAACUACGUG